rnacentral:rRNA from 1 species
UGGGGAAUAUUGGACAAUGGGCGCAAGCCUGAUCCAGCAAUGCCGCGUGGGUGAAGAAGGUCUUCGGAUUGUAAAGCCCUUUCGACGGGGACGAUGAUGACGGUACCCGUAGAAGAAGCCCCGGCUAACUUCGUGCCAGCAGCCGCGGUAAUACGAAGGGGGCUAGCGUUGCUCGGAAUGACUGGGCGUAAAGGGCGCGUAGGCGGUUUGUACAGUUGGGCGUGAAAUUCCUGGGCUUAACCUGGGGGCUGCGUUCAAUACGUGCGGACUUGAGUUUGGAAGAGGGUCGUGGAAUUCCCAGUGUAGAGGUGAAAUUCGUAGAUAUUGGGAAGAACACCGGUGGCGAAGGCGGCGACCUGGUCCGAUACUGACGCUGAGGCGCGAAAGCGUGGGGAGCAAACAGGAUUAGAUACCCUGGUAGUCCACGCUGUAAACGAUGUGCGCUGGAUGUUGGGCGACCUAGUCGCUCAGUGUCGUAGCUAACGCGAUAAGCGCACCGCCUGGGGAGUACGGCCGCAAGGUUG